rnacentral:rRNA from 1 species
UACGGGGGGGGCAAGCGUUGUUCGGAAUUACUGGGCGUAAAGGGCGCGUAGGCGGCCUUCUAAGUCGGACGUGAAAUCCCUCGGCUUAACCGAGGAACUGCGUCCGAUACUGAAAGGCUUGAAUCCGGGAGAGGGAUGUGGAAUUCCAGGUGUAGCGGUGAAAUGCGUAGAUAUCAGGAAGAACACCCGUGGCGAAGGCGGCUCUCUGGGACGGUACUGACGCUGAGACGCGAAAGCGUGGGGAGCAAACAGG